UACGUAGGGUGCGAGCGUUGUCCGGAAUUAUUGGGCGUAAAGAGCUUGUAGGCGCUUUGUCGCGUCUGCUGUGAAAAUCCGGGGCUCAACCCCGGACUUGCAGUGGGUACGGGCAGACUAGAGUGUGGUAGGGGAGACUGGAAUUCCUGGUGUAGCGGUGAAAUGCGCAGAUAUCAGGAGGAACACCAAUGGCGAAGGCAGGUCUCUGGGCCACUACUGACGCUGAGAAGCGAAAGCAUGGGGGGCGAACAGGAUUAGAUA
rnacentral:rRNA from 1 species